ACUGUGCAUCUGGUCCAUACGUAGGCAAUGUGUUAGGAUACGUAGAAUGCAAAACCUCUGGUGAAUACCCGGUCUGUCAGGGAGCGGUAAAAGGUGAGCACGGGAAAAUGCGCGUGGGCACUGCACGGCACAACGGGUUCAGUAGUAGUUGGAGUUUGGCACUGGUUUGAGCAACACCUUCUGGAGCAAGGAGGCUCUCCUGGAAGACAUAGCUUCACUGAGCCUCGGGUACGCCGUUCCAAGGCCCACACAGCGUGGCAAAAUUCCAUAGGCACUAAAUAGAUAAGUAUUGCUACACUAAGAAGAAUUAAAGUGCCGAUACGUCAAGAGCCAUAGCUGUGGUUGUAUGCGUGCUCUGUGCCUCGCCAUCUUGCCGCUUGCCAACCGCCGCAUCGAUACAAGCAGAUGCUUAAAAGCAAAAGUGGAGCCAGUGCACAGGCCGUUUAUAGUCCACGAGUGUAGUGGUUCCCAUUGCUGAAGUUCCUGGACUAGGCCACAGAAAUUGGCAGUAAACGAGGAACUCCCACAUUCGAAGAAAUGCUUGAGCAUGAAGUACAAGCUCAGUACUUAUCUCAAGAAGAGACCGAUGUCAUCUGCAGUGAGCCACAGCUACAGCUACAGCCCCAGCAUCAUGAGCGGCCUCCCACAAAGAGAACAAAACUGACUACAAAUAUUCUUGUGGAGGCCCCCAAAAUGUGGAAGGCUUUGGAUCAUAUGAGCAAAAAUCAGCCCCAGCCUGGUAUAGAGCCCUUGCCACCCACAUCACAGCUGAACUGGCGGGAGAUGGAAAAUGUGGGUGGUAAAGCAUUUGCAACGGGCACUAUGCAGGGGUUAAAUUACUUUUUGAUGGACAGGUGGGAUUUGUUGUAGGCAACAGUUCCACAGCCACAUCCACCUCUGGAUAUAUCCAGGCUGCCUACCAGCAAGCUGGUAUACAGGAUGACGACACACUAUUAUACAGGGUGUUACAAAAAGGUACGGCCAAACUUUCAGGAAACAUUCCUCACACACAAAUAAAGAAAAGAUGUUAUGUGGACAUGUGUUCGGAAACGCUUAAUUUCCAUGUUAGAGCUCAUUUUAGUUUCGUCAGAAUCUACUGUACUUCCUAGAUUCACCGCCAGUUGGCCCAAUUGAAGGAAGGUAAUGGUGACUUCGGUGCUUGUGUUGACAUGCGACUCAUUGCUCUACAGUACUAGCAUCAAGCACAUCAGUACGUAGCAUCAACAGGUUAGUGUUCAUCACGAACGUGGUUUUGCAGUCAGUGCAAUGUUUACAAAUGCGGAAUUGGCAGAUGCCCAUUUGAUGUAUGGAUUAGCACGGGGCAAUAGCCGUGGCGUGGUACAUUUGUAUCGAGACAGAUUUCCAGAACGAAGGUGUCCCGACAGGAAGACGUUCUAAGCAAUUGAUCGGCGUCUUAGGGAGCACGGAACAUUCCAGCCUAUGACUCGUGACUGGGGAAGACCUAGAACAGCGAGGACACCUGCAAUGGAAGAGGCAAUUCUUCGUGCAGUUGACGAUAACCCUAAUGUCAGCGUCAGAGAAGUUGCUGCUGUACAAGGUAACGUUGACCACGUCACUGUAUGGAGAGUGCUACGGGAGAACCAGUUGUUUCCGUACCGUAUACAGUGCGUGCAGGCACUAUCAGUAGCUGAUUGGCCUCCACGGGUACACUUCUGCGAAUGGUUCAUCCAACAAUGUGUCAAUCCUCAUUUCAGUGCAAAUGUUCUCUUUAUGGAUGAGGCUUCAUCCCAACGUGAUCAAAUUGUAAAUUUUCACAAUCAACAUGUGUGGGCUGACGAGAAUCCGCACGCAAUUGUGCAAUCACGUCACGUCAUCAACACAGAUUUUCUGUGAAUGUUUGGGCAGGCAUUGUCGGUGAUGUCUUGAUUGGGCCCCAUGUUCUUCCACCUAUGCUCAAUGGAGCACGUUAUGAUUUCAUACGGGAUACUCUACCUGUGCAGCUAGAACAUGUGCCUUUACAAGUACGACACAACAUGUGGUUCAUGCACGAUGGAGCUCCUGCACAUUUCAGUCGAAGUGUUCGUACGCUUCUCAACAACAGGUUUGGUGACCGAUAAAAUGGUAGAGGCGGACCAAUUCCAUGGCCUCCAUGCUCUCCUGACCUCAACCCUCUUGACUUUCAUUUAUGGGGGCAUUUGAAAGCUCUUGUCUACGCAAGCCCGGUACCAAAUGUAGAGACUCUUCGUGCUCGUAUUGUGGACGGCUGUGAUAUGAGACGCCAUUCUCCAGGGCUGCAUCAGCGCAUCAGGGAUUCCAUGCGACGGAGGGUGGAUGCAUGUAUCCUCGCUAACAGAGGACAUUUUGAACAUUUCCUGUAACAAAGUGUUUGAAGUCACGCUGGUACGUUCUGUUGCUGUGUGUUUCCAUUCCAUGAUUAAUGUGAUUUGAAGAGAAGUAAUAAAAUGAGCUCUAACAUGGAAAGUAAGCGUUUCCGGACACAUGUCCACAUAACAUAUUUUCUUUCUUUGUGUGUGAGGAAUGUUUCCUGAAAGUUUGGCUGUACCUUUUUGUAUUUUCUGAGCUCUCCAGUUGUCUUAAUCUAUUUUUGCACUCAGGAUGCCUCACAUUGUAAAGCACCUCAUCAGCUUCAAACAUUUCUAUUAAUUUUGUAGUUGGGGGACACACAAUGUAAUUAUUAUUUGGAGCUAUAAUAAAAAAGAGUUC